rnacentral:rRNA from 1 species
CCCUUAGAUGUUCUGGGCCGCACGCGUGCUACACUGAGUGGAUCAGCGGGUCAGGUUGCGCGAAAGUGUUUCCUAAUCUUGAAAUCCGCUCGUGAUGGGGAUUGACGGUUGCAAUUUUCCGUCAUGAACGAGGAAUACCUUGUAAGCGCGGGUCAUCAUCCCGGGCUGAAUACGUCCCUGCCCUUUGUACACACCGCCCGUCGCUCCUACCGAUUGAGUGGUCCGGUGAGGCUUUGGGAUCUGAGCGGAAAGAGCGUUUCGCUGUUUCUGCUCGGAAAACUCAGUCGAACCUUAUCAUUUAGAGGAAGGAGAAGUCGUAACA